ensembl:snRNA U6 U6 spliceosomal RNA
GGGCUCAUUUUGGCAGCACAUAUACUAAAAUUGGAAUGAUACAGAGAAGACUAGGAUGGCCCCUGUGAAGGAGAACAUGUGAAUUUGUGAAGCAUCCCAUAGAAGA